AUGAGGGCACCUGUGCAGCCACUCAGCUUCCGGCUGCUCUGGCUCCAGGGUUCCAGUUGUGAUAUCCAGAAGAGCCAAACUCCAUCCACGUCUGAAUCUCUGGGAGAGAAUAUCACCAUCCCUUGCAAUGCCAGUCAGAGCAUUAACUAUUGGUUAGCCUGGUAUCAGCAGAAACCAGGGAAAGCUCCUAGACUCCUCAUCUAUGAGGCAACCAAAUUAGGACAAGAUGUCCAUUCCCGCUUCAGUGGCAGUCAAUCUGGGACAGAUUUCACUCUCACCAUCAGCAACAUCAAGCCUGAGGAUGCUGCCACUUAUUACUGUAAACAAAGUUGGAGUAACCCUCCCACAAUGAUACAGGCCAGAACAUAA